rnacentral:rRNA from 2 species
UGGGGAAUUUUGGACAAUGGGCGAAAGCCUGAUCCAGCAAUGCCGCGUGUGUGAAGAAGGCCUUCGGGUUGUAAAGCACUUUUGUCCGGAAAGAAAUGGCUCUGGUUAAUACCAGGGGUCGAUGACGGUACCGGAAGAAUAAGGACCGGCUAACUACGUGCCAGCAGCCGCGGUAAUACGUAGGGUCCAAGCGUUAAUCGGAAUUACUGGGCGUAAAGCGUGCGCAGGCGGUUGUGCAAGACCGAUGUGAAAUCCCCGAGCUUAACUUGGGAAUUGCAUUGGUGACUGCACGGCUAGAGUGUGUCAGAGGGGGGUAGAAUUCCACGUGUAGCAGUGAAAUGCGUAGAGAUGUGGAGGAAUACCGAUGGCGAAGGCAGCCCCCUGGGAUAACACUGACGCUCAUGCACGAAAGCGUGGGGAGCAAACAGG